rnacentral:rRNA from 1 species
GCCAGCGCCAUAUCUCUCUGCAGCUCUUGCCUGAAGCGAAGCAGGGUUGAGCCGGGCCAGUACCUGGAUGGAAGACCUACUGAGGAAAACUAAGGUUGCUGCAGGAA